GAGGCUGCUACAUGGUCUUCUCCAGCAGGCUCAUGGAAAUGCCUACCCUUCUGACCCAGCCACUGGAGGGAUUGUUGUACCAUGGAGAAGCAGGUUUCCCCCAGUGCUUUGGGAGUGAUUCUGUUCAGGGCAUUGUCUGGAAAGUAUUCAUCUUCUUUUCUGAAGAAGUGAUGGAGGCAGGUCUUUAUCAGCAGCCUGAAAAUGGACUGGUAUCACAUCUUAAAGUAAAAUGGAAUAAUUAGUACUUCAAAUCAAGAAACCAAUAUGCAAGGUAAUAACUUUGUUUUCUUUUGUUAUAGUGACACAGUUAAACUCUUUGGGUAUUCAACAAUAUAAGGCAAGUAGGGCAGGGGUUCAGGAGGGAGUAUUGGGAAGUCAUGGAGGAGAUUUGGGAAUGUUCAUUCAUGGGACUCAUGAUGAAACAGAUAACACUGUGAAUUAUCAAGAGACAAAGCAGGAAAAUCAGAAGGUUCUUGCCUUUACUAUUUUUAGGGAUCAAUAUCAGUGUUCUUGGACUGUGAGAAACAUGGGAAUGAGAAGACCUCCCAGAGUAGAGGAGACAGAUGGGCAGUUCUGUCACUGGCACAGAAGGAUAAACUCAUCUCCUGAGUGAACCUGGGAGAGCUGAAGAGCCAUUCAAGCAUCAAUGACAUGCUGUGUAGUAAAGUGCUCGGGGUCCGGGGAAGUUCGGUACCGGGAUCCUCAGAGCUCUGAACCCUUGGGGCUGCUAUGGGUUCCGGAGUAUUUCACUGAUUUCAGUUAUCUAGUGGCGUUUCAUGU